rnacentral:rRNA from 1 species
UGGAUCCAGACUUUGAUCAUGGCUCAGGACGAACGCUGGCGGCGUGCCUAACACAUGCAAGUCGAACGAAGCUCGAGGUUGGAAUUCUUCGGAGUGAAGACUGAGAUGACUGAGUGGCGGACGGGUGAGUAACGCGUGAGUAACCUGCCCUUGGGAACGGGAUAGCGUCUGGAAACGGACGGUAAUACCGUAUAAAGUAUAUUUACCGCAUGAUAGAUAUACCAAAGCUCCGACGCCCAAGGAUGGACUCGCGUCUGAUUAGAUAGUUGGUGGGGUAACGGCCUACCAAGUCGACGAUCAGUAGCCGGACUGAGAGGUUGAACGGCCACAUUGGGACUGAGACGCGGCCCAGACUCCUACGGGAGGCAGCAGUGGGGAAUAUUGCACAAUGGGGGAAACCCUGAUGCAGCAACGCCGCGUGAAGGAAGACGGUUUUCGGAUUGUAAACUUCUGUUCUUAGUGAAGAUAGUGACGGUAGCUAAGGAGCAAGCCACGGCUAACUACGUGCCAGCAGCCGCGGUAAUACGUAGGUGGCAAGCGUUGUCCGGAAUUACUGGGUGUAAAGGGAGCGUAGGCGGAAAGCCAAGUCAGCUGUGAAAACUACGGGCUUAACCUGUAGACUGCAGUUGAAACUGGUUUCCUUGAGUGAAGUAGAGGUUGGCGGAAUUCUGAGUGUAGCGGUGAAAUGCGUAGACAUUCGGAGGAACACCGGUGGCGAAGGCGGCCAACUGGGCUUUAACUGACGCUGAGGCUCGAAAGUGUGGGGAGCAAACAGGAUUAGAUACCCUGGUAGUCCACACUGUAAACGAUGAUUGCUAGGUGUGGGGGGUCUGACCCCUUCUGUGCCGCAGCUAACGCAAUAAGCAAUCCACCUGGGGAGUACGACCGCAAGGUUGCAACUCAAAUGAAUUGACGGA